CAAGGUCUCCGUUGGUGAACCAGCGGAGGGAUCAUUACAGAGUUAUCCAACUCCCAAACCCAUGUGAACUUAUCUCUUUGUUGCCUCGGCGCAAGCUACCCGGGACCUCGCGCCCCGGGCGGCCCGCCGGCGGACAAACCAAAACUCUUGUUAUCUUAGUUGAUUAUCUGAGUGUCUUAUUUAAUAAGUCAAAACUUUCAACAACGGAUCUCUUGGUUCUGGCAUCGAUGAAGAACGCAGCGAAAUGCGAUAAGUAAUGUGAAUUGCAGAAUUCAGUGAAUCAUCGAAUCUUUGAACGCACAUUGCGCCCAUUAGUAUUCUAGUGGGCAUGCCUGUUCGAGCGUCAUUUCAACCCCUAAGCACAGCUUAUUGUUGGGAACCUACGGCUUCGUAGUUCCUCAAAGACAUUGGCGGAGUGGCAGUGGUCCUCUGAGCGUAGUAAUCUUUUAUCUCGCUUCUGUUAGGUGCUGCCCCCCCGGCCGUAAAACCCCCAAUUUUUUCUGGUUGACCUCGGAUCAGGUAGGAAU
rnacentral:rRNA from 1 species